rnacentral:tRNA from 1 species
GCGCCUGUAGCUCAGUUGGAUAGAGUGUUUGCUUGCGGAGCGAAAGGUCGGGCGUUCGAGUCGCCCCAGGCGCA